rnacentral:rRNA from 1 species
CGCGUAGGUGGUAGUGCAAGUCUGAGGUGGAAUCUUAGGGCUUAACCCUAAAAUUGCCUUGGAAACUGCAUUACUUGAGUCAGUGAGGGGAGGGUAGAAUUCCUGGUGUAGCGGUGAAAUGCGUAGAUAUCAGGAGGAAGGCCGGUGGCGAAGGCGGCCCUCUGGCGCUGAACUGACACUGAGGCGCGAAAGCGUGGGGAGCAAACAGGAUUAGAUACCCUGGUAGUCCACGCCCUAAACGGUGGGUACUAGGUGUAGGGCUCGUAAGGGUUCUGUGCCGAAGCGAAAGCAUUAAGUACCCCGCCUGGGGAGUACAGCCGCAAGGUUGAA